rnacentral:misc_RNA from 1 species
AAAGGCUUUACAUGAAGCUUUAAUGAAGCUAGAAGAUUUGCUCGUGUACGUAGACAGUCAAGAAGAAGCCAAGUACCGGAAAAAGAAGUUUUGCUGGUAAGAUGUUUUGCCUAUGGAGGGAGACUUUGGUGACUUUCUGGCUGGCACAAAAAUUUGUCUUUUCUGUACGAAGUGUUUUAACAUACAAGCACAGAUGUUGGUCGUGCUGAGGACACUUUCUAAUUGAUGUGAGUUUCUGUUGAUUACGAAGGAAAAGACUUUGUUAUAAGGAAAUUAUUGUAUGACCGCCAUUGUUCUUAAAUCAUGUGUGCGUGGUUUGGUUUUCCAAAUUUAGUGGUUUUUCCUUAUAUUUUCUAAUAUGAAUGGACUUGAUAAUUGUCAAGGGCUUUCGCAUAUUGAUAGCUUUUGCAUGUCAUCAUCUAGGUGCUUAGUUUUGGUACAAUGGUUUUUCAGCAGCUG